rnacentral:misc_RNA from 1 species
UCUAGAGUUGCACCAGGCUAUAGAGCCACUCAUUAAGCGUCCACUCUUAUCGACUGUUGAACAAGAAGAACAGCAUUUGGGGCUGUAGCUCAGCUGGUUAGAGCACCGUGUUGAUAACGCGGGGGUCGUUGGUUCGAGUCCAACCAGCCCUACCAAGUUAUCGGCAUGCCUGAUAUACAAACGGGGGAUUAGCUCAGCUGGGAGAGCACCUGCUUUGCAAGCAGGGGGUCGUCGGUUCGAUCCCGUCAUCCUCCACCAAGUUCUGAAAGCACAAACGUAAGUCAGUCAUCGACUGUGAUUUAGGUUUGAUCUUUUAGAGAUCAUUGCUGUUUCGUUCUUUAACAAUCUGGAAGAAGUAAAGUUUUAUGUCAAUCCGUGAAAACGGUUUGGCAGGGUAGUAAUCAUGUAUCAACAAACAUAGCAACAACGCUGUACUUAACCUAUAACGCAUCUUUGUUUAGUCGCAAGGAGCUAACGUUAUAG